AAGUGAAAUAAAGAACAGAACAGCAGAAGAGAACACAGCUUUCUAGUUCUUAGCAUAAUACUCUUAUCUACUAGAGCUCUCCUGAUGAAGAAAGGCAAAUCUAAUGGUACCUGGCUGUUCUUAAGAAUGCAUAGAGAGGCUUAGCAGGCUGGGAUUGUUUGAAGCUUAUUUCCUGCUUGAAACUGACAGUGUUUAUGGCCCCAACUUAAAACUGCCUAUUACUUCAGGCCAAAGGGUUCCAUGGCGAAAUUGAGGAUUUGCAGCAGUGGCUGACUGACACGGAGCGUCAUCUGUUGGCAUCUAAACCGCUGGGAGGUUUACCGGAAACAGCCAAGGAGCAGCUUAAUGUCCAUAUGGAAGUCUGUGCUGCCUUUGAAGCUAAAGAAGAAACAUAUAAGAGUCUGAUGCAGAAAGGCCAGCAGAUGCUUGCAAGAUGCCCAAAAUCUGCAGAGACAAAUAUUGACCAAGACAUAAAUAACUUGAAAGAAAAAUGGGAAUCGGUGGAAACCAAACUCAAUGAAAGGAAAACUAAACUGGAAGAGGCUCUCAACUUGGCAAUGGAGUUCCACAAUUCUCUCCAAGAC
rnacentral:lncRNA from 10 species